rnacentral:tRNA from 1 species
UAGCUGAGUUGGUAAAGAAUCUGCCUGUAGUGCAGGAGACCCAGGUUCACUCCCUGG